rnacentral:rRNA from 1 species
UGCCCUACGGGGCGCAGCAGUAGGGAAUCUUCCACAAUGGGCGAAAGCCUGAUGCAGCGACGCCGCGUGAGCGAAGAAGUAUUUCGGUAUGUAAAGCUCUAUCAGCAGGGAAGAAAAAUGACGGUACCUGAGUAAGAAGCACCGGCUAAAUACGUGCCAGCAGCCGCGGUAAUACGUAUGGUGCAAGCGUUAUCCGGAUUUACUGGGUGUAAAGGGAGCGCAGGCGGUGCGGCAAGUCUGCUGUGAAAGCCCGGGGCUCAACCCCGGGACUGCAUUGGAAACUACCGGACUCGAGUGUCGGAGAG